GAAAGCUCCAGGGAGAGAAAGCAACGCCGAAACCCUUGCGGCAAAUUUCAAUUCGCCGUAACUUCUCCGUCCGAGCUCCGAUUGCCGCACUGUUUGCGGCCACGCGUCCACCGCGUCGAGCUCUACAUUUCUAUCGGAACAAUUUCAUAGGAUCCAAUUAGCUUGAGGAAAACGUUUACUCUUGCUUAUGUGAAGCUUGGGUAAGGUUGUGAAUAAAUAAUUGGAGCUUGAAAUUGUGAAUACUGGAACUUGGAGGAAGCGGAUUAGUUGAAGUUUUAAGGGCUGUGUUCUUUUAGGAAAAUUGUCUUGGAAUAAUACUUGGGAAUCGGCUAAGGUAUGGUUUAGGUUUCUUGCAUUUAAUAUAUAAUGUUCUGUGAAAACUUAGGCUAGGUGACCAUAGGAUAAGUUGGAAUGCGGGUGUAUGUUUAAUGUUUAGUAAUUUUUCGAUGAAUAUAUUUGGUUGAAGUUUAUUGGAUAAUUAGUUAUUAAUUUUGGAUGGUGAAUGUUAUUAUUGAUGAACAUGGUUAGUUUGGUGCUUGUUGAUUAAUUAAUAAUUUGGUGAAUUGUUGAUUUGAGGUAUCUUGUGUUAGAAGCCUAGGAUUAGUGAACUAUGAUCCUUAGUUGAAUUUUUGGUUGUUGGAUUUGAAUAUUGUAUGAGUAUAAUUGUUGAUCUGAGGUAGAUUUAUUGUGGUGACUGUUAUGAUGAUGAGGAAGGGUGUGUUGAAUUGAAAAGAAAGCAGGUUUGGACCCGAAA